CCUACGGGAGGCUGCAGUGGGGAAUAUUGCACAAUGGGGGAAACCCUGAUGCAGCGACGCCGCGUGAGUGAAGAAGUAAUUCGUUAUGUAAAGCUCUAUCAGCAGGGAAGAAAAUGACGGUACCUGAGUCAGCAGCCACGGCUAAAUACGUCCCAGCAGCCGCGGUAAUACGUAGGGGGCAAGCGUUAUCCGGAUUUACUGGGGGUAAAGGGAGCGUAGACGGCAGUGCAAGUCUGGAGUGAAAGGCGGGGGCUCAACCCGCGGACUGCUCUGGAAACUGGACGGCUGGAGUGCAGGAGAGGUAAGUGGAAUUCCUGGUGUAGCGGUGAAAUGCGUAGAUAUUAGGAGGAACACCAGUGGCGAAGGCGGCUUACUGGACUGUAACUGACGUUGAGGCGCGAAAGCGUGGGGAGCAAACAGGAUUAGAUACCCCAGUAGUC
rnacentral:rRNA from 1 species